GACGAACGCUGGCGGCGUGCUUAACACAUGCAAGUCGAACGGUGAAGCGCCUUCCUUUUUGGUGGGUGUGGAUGAGUGGCGAACGGGUGAGUAACACGUGAGUAACCUGCCCCCUUCUUCUGGAUAACCGCAUGAAAGUGUGGCUAAUACGGGAUAUUCUGGGUCUGUCGCAUGAUGGGUCUGGGAAAGAUAUUGUUUCGGUGGGGGAUGGGCUCGCGGCCUAUCAGCUUGUUGGUGGGGUGAUGGCCUACCAAGGCGGUGACGGGUAGCCGGCCUGAGAGGGUGGACUGUCACACUGGGACUGAGACACGGCCCAGACUCCUACGGGAGGCAGCAGUGGGGAAUAUUGCACAAUGGGCGCAAGCCUGAUGCAGCGACGCCGCGUGAGGGAUGGAGGCCUUCGGGUUGUGAACCUCUUUCGCCAGUGAAGCAGGCCUGCCUCGUUUGUGGGUGGGUUGACGGUAGCUGGAUAAGAAGCGCCGGCUAACUACGUG
rnacentral:rRNA from 1 species